CGAUGUUUGUGGGUUGUUGUCUCUUUUUGUUGGAGCAGUAGCGAUACGUUUAUUCUCUGUUUUGACCGUGUUAUUUCAGUCUGUAAUAAAUAACAUGAGUUCGCUCCCAGCUGCGCCUUGGUCCACUUCUUCCUUCCUGCACGACGAUCGUUACAGUAGAUGUAGUGGUCGUAGGCACUAAAGUUGCCGUCGGAGCUACAGUUGUCAUUGUAGGUGCUGCAGUUGUUGUUGUCGUAGGAGCUGCAAUUGUAGUUGUUGUAGAAGGUACUGCAGCCUUAGUCAUCGUAAGAGAUACAGUUGUUGUAGUGGAAGCUGCAUUGGUUGUUGAAGUAGGUGCUGAAGUUGUAUUGAUCAUAGGAGGUACAGUUGUUGUUAUAGGUUCUGCUGUUGUAAUGGUCAUAGUAGGUGUUGUGGUUGACGUAGGAGCUUCAAUUGUUGUCGAAGGAGCUACAGUUGUUGUUGUAGGUGUUGCAGUGGUUGUAGUUGGUGAUGCAGUUGUAGUGGUCGUAGGAGCUACAGUUGUCAAUGUAGUAGUAGGUGCUGCAGUUGUAGUGGUAGUAGGAAAUGCAGUGGUUGUUGAAGUAGGUGCUGCAGUUGUAGUGGAUGUCGGAGCUACAGUUGUUGUUGUAGGAGCUGCUGUGAUUGUCAAAGUAGUUGCUGCAGUUGUAGUGGUAGUAGGAUAUAUAGUGGUUGUCGUAGAAGCUACAAUUGUUGUUAUAGGUGCUGCUGUUGUAAUGGUUGUAGUAGGUGUUGUGGUUGUCGAUGGAGCUUCAGUUGUGGUUGUCGUAGGUGCUGCAGUUGUAGUGGUCAUAGGAGCUACACUUGCUGCUGUAGGUGUUGCAGUGGUUGUAGUAGGUGUUGUAGUUGUUGUAGGAGCUGCAGUUGUCAUUGUAGUAGUAAGUGCUGCUGUUGUAAUGGUCGUAGUAGGUGUUGUGGUUGUCGAUGGAGUUGUGGUUGUCGAUGGAGCUUCAAUUGUCGUUGUAGGUGCUUCUGUUGUGGUCAUAGGAUAUACAGUUGUUGUAAUAGGAGCUGCAGUUGUCGUUGUCGUAGGAGCUGCAUUUGUAGUUGUCGUAGAAGGUGCUUCAGUUAUAGAAGUCGUAGGAGCUACAGUUGUUGUAGUAGAAGCUGCAGUGGUUGUCGAAUUAGGUGCUGCAGUUGUAGUGGUCCUAGGAGCUACAGUUGUUGUUGUUGUUGUAGUAGGUGUUGUAGUUGUUGUAGGAGCUACAGUUGUCAUUGUGGUAGUAGAAUAUGUAGUUGUCGUAGAAGCUACAGUUGUUGUUGUAGGUUCUUUUGUUGUGGUUGUCGUAGGAGCUUCAG
rnacentral:lncRNA from 1 species